GACGAACGCUGGCGGCGUGCUUAACACAUGCAAGUCGAACGGAAAGGCCCUGCCUUGUUGGGGUCGUCUAGUUACGAACUGGUGAGUAACACUUGAGUAACCUACACUUCACUGUGGGAUAACUUCAGGAAACUUGGGCUAAUAGCGGAUAGGAGCUACCGCUGCAUGGUGGGGGUUGGAAGGUUUCGGCGGUUGGGGAUGGACUCGCGGCUUAUCAGCUUGUUGGUUGGGUAGUGGCUUACCAAGGCUUUGCAGGGUAGCCGGGCUGAGCGGGUCAGCGGACACAUCGGGACUGAGCUACGGCACAGACUCCUACGGGAGGCAGCAGUGGGGAAGAGUGCAUUAUGGGAGGAGGCAUGAUGCGGCACAGCCGCGUGCGGGAUGACGGGCUUCGGGUUGUAAACCGCUUUUGCCUUUGCCGAAGCGUGAGUGACGGUAAUGGGUAAAGAAGCACCGGCUAACUCCGUG
rnacentral:rRNA from 1 species